rnacentral:rRNA from 1 species
UACGGAGGGUGCAAGCGUUAUCCGGAUUCACUGGGUUUAAAGGGUGCGUAGGUGGGCAGGUAAGUCAGUGGUGAAAUCUCCGGGCUUAACUCGGAAACUGCCAUUGAUACUAUCUGUCUUGAAUACCGUGGAGGUCAGCGGAAUAUGUCAUGUAGCGGUGAAAUGCUUAGAUAUGACAUAGAACACCAAUUGCGAAGGCAGCUUACUACGGAUCGAUUGACACUGAGGCACGAAAGCGUGGGGAUCAAACAGG